CACACACACACACACACACACACACACACACACACGGUGUGUCAAAAGGAAACUAAAUGACGGCAUGAAAAGCAGUGUUGGAACACCGGAGUUAUGGGGGUUAGCUAAUAAAUAUGCAAGGACAGAUCAACGAAGGAUUGACUUACCUGGGGAUUUUUUUCUUUGUGUUCACUCAUGCCCCAGGGUUCAAAAAAAACCCCAUACCAAUAAAUUUAAGAAAAUUUUGAAGGCCACAAUAAAUAGGCAGUUGGAAACAAAACGGUAUCAACGGCACAUAUCAUUGAACUCUGCUGAAAACCAGGAAACAGCAAGACCAACACAAAGUUUGGACCAUUCGAGGAGCUCCGUUUAAAAAAGAAUCCUGUUAGUGUGCUCCUGAAAUUCAAAAGGGAACAGGGCCAAGCGGGUAUCCUGGGAGUUCCACAACCUUGGCAGCAGAGUUGGCUUAUUAGUCAGUGUUCAGGCAGGGAAAAAAACACACACACAACUUAAUGGGCCCCCAAAUGUUGCACUUUAUGUUAGCGAGUGCACAUUCUUGAGUUCUUUAUAAACAGCAGUGCAGAUCCCAAGAUGCACCUUUGUUUCCCACUUCCUCCAAUUAUAGCCUGUCCUCUGUCUGGACAGUUUCACACAGUGAGGUAGAAACUUGUGUUUGGUGGGGAAUGUAAAUUAUUGUGGUUGACUGUCUUGACCACGCACAAUGUAAAGUGAAGAUUUAAAAACCACGUUGCCUUAAUUGAAGCACAGAAUAUACCCUUGUGGCCUCCGCUGUUUUAAACUCUGUUUCAGUUUGCUCCUUAAGACUAUUUCACAAAGCUAAAAAUAACAUGAAGGUUUGGGGAUGCUGAUGUGUGUUAACUAGGGCAGCUUUCCCCAGAGGCAGUUCUCUGUUGUUUUUGCUGGAAAUGUAGAGAACUACACAGUGGCUUUCCCCAGACUUUCCUUAGCAUCGUGUGACCCAUAUUUCUUCCCCUUCUACCCAAGGACUUUUUUCAAAAAAUUAGGAAUCACUGGAUCACUAAGGCAAUUAUAACAGACUAUGGCCAUGACUUACUAGUUUCCAGCUUUCUUUUUUUUUUUCAAAUAGUUAGCCCUCUGGCCAUUUUUGUUGUGGUGUUAUAAGAGGAAAGGUGCAAUGGAUAUUGAUUUGAGCCCAAGUCAAACAUUCUAGUUCGCCACCACUGUCCUAUACUGUAACACAUCAGAAGCUGGUAUGAGUGUAAAAGCUUACUAGAUUCACGCUUUGAAUAAUGAAUUAUCUUUUUUUUAAAGUGAUCAUUAAAUUGAUCUAAAAACACUAUGGAGCAUCUAAAUUAGAUUAAUGGGAUUAUUAAAUGUGUCAGCCAUUCAGACAUGAAAAUGUAACUGUUGGAAGAUUUUUAAAAAUGUGGAACCAUUUUAAAACAUGCAAACAAGAUAAAUUGCUGUUGAAACCCUCAA